UUUAUGGCCCUUCUGUGCCAUCUGAAUGGUACAAAAGGCUAAAAAACAGCCUGAGCAUCUGUGUUACUCUCUGCACCACUAUGGUAAUGAAAAUCCACAAAUGCUUAAAGGAAUAAACAACAUUCCAAGUUUCCUGAGGUUAUAUAAAAGAAAUAUUUAUUCUAUCUGAAAAAGACUAUGCAGAGAAGUAUUGGAGUUUAAGAAAAAAAAAAGUCAUAAUGUGUUCACAAUGUGAGGGAGAAGAGCAGCACAGCAAGCAACCUUAACUAGGCUGUUUCCAAACUUUUGACUGCCUAACCAUGCAGCCUUAAUGCUCUGUUACCAUAUUUGUCAUGCACACAGAAUUAUAUAGAUAUAUAUAAUACCAACUGUCUGGCUAGAUAUAGAUAUCUUAUUUUUAUUGGAAUUUUAUCCUCAGCCUCCUCUCUGCUUCUCUUUUCACAGUUUUUCUUAAGCAGAAUGUGAAACUAAUACUUUCAAAUUUCAGCUGCACUUUUGAACUCGUGAUAUUUGAAAGCAAUUUUUUUCUCAUCACAACCUGAAACUGAUAUGUUGUUACACAGGAAAUGUUGCACAUCUCAAAACUCUCCACUCACAGAAGAGGCAGAAUGUAUCCUUUUGAAGGUGUGGGAUGCAUGUGAAAAAGUAUCAAGAUUACUCGGCUCCUUGGAAAUUAUCACUGCAACUCUUCUCUGCCUCUCUUUUUUCUUUCCACAAGUGCCAAAAUUGUCUCCUAAAAAUGCUUAAAAUUCAUCUUCUGUCAUGUAGAUGCUGGAGUUUAUUUUGAAAUGCAAGCUUGUCUGAGAAAGCUGUAUUAUGCACGGGUUUAUGAUACAUAAAAGUAUCAACAUAAAGUAAAUCCAAACUCAGGUCCACAUUUAGAUCUAAGAAAGGAAUUAGUAAAGCACUUAAAUGAUCCCCCAAGGUUAAAUCCUACCUGCCCAAUGAAAGCCAGUGACACUGGAGCCCUCCAAGGUCUGUGAUGACCAAAGGAUCUUAGCACCCAAGUAGUCUCAAAGAUUUAGGUACCUAAAUCUGAAAUCUAUAGACGGACAAUUUCUUCCUAUUUUAUUACAAAGGAAUUUGAUUUUGGUGGCAAAGAGAAGGGACAGAAAAUGAAGCGUCCUCUUGCCUAGCGAGGUCCAUGUCUUGAAAAUGUGUCAGUUAAACAAUCUUCAAAGCAAGGAGACUCCUGAUCCAAAAGGAAUAUCAGGAGAGAGAUUGCUUUUUGUCACUUCUGAGCAGGAUCAGAUGCACGAUAGGAACACCAGGGAAAUUUCUGGUGAACAUCCAAGUAUCUUUAUCCUUUUGGAUGCCAGCGAGGUUAAGAAAGGGUUUUGUGGUUUUGGAUUGAAUGACUAAAUCUCACAUAAAACCUACCCAGGAUAUCUAACUGCUUCUGCUGAAUUGAUUUUGGUUCCUACUGUUUUUUCCUGAUUACUUUUACAUAUAUAUAUAUAUUUAUUCCUUACACGUAUGCAUUUUAACCCAUAACUGCUGCUGUGUUAUGUGGCAAAUCCAAUUUUGAUAAAGCAAACCAGAUUAUCAGAAAAUACCUUCAAAAUGGCCAGUGUGAGGCUUCCACCAAGAUUUAUCAACAAAUGAGGCAGAAAACACCCACAUUAUGGAACCAGAAAAAG